CUUUAUUUCCUCCCAUCUUUCCUACAUUUACAUAGUUUUCUUAACCUGUUCCCUGUCACCUAUUUUUUUUAACAUUAGUAAGUCCUAGACCAAAGGUUUUGUAUUCUUCCAUUCCAUCUGACUGCUUUUUUGGAUGGUGGCCAUUCUCUGGUACACUGGUACCGAAGAUUUCACCAUGGAAAGCUGUGCUUGACCUUUCAACCUGAUCCUUUUUUUCAUCUUGACAUAAUAAGGCUGCCAUGUCUUCACCCUUCAGUGGAAAAGCCCGUCGUUCCCACCACAAAGACUGAAAGGGGAAAAAUUUUCAGUUAAGUUUCAACUAACUUGUUUUGUUUAAAUUCAUCUAACAAGUAAUCUGUACAUGUCUAUAUUGUAAUAAUUGUUCUGUUCUUUAGCACAUAAAUGUACAAUUUUUCAUUUCAACUUAAAUAGCAACUCAAAAUGGAAUAUAUUGAGAAUUGUUGAGUGACUUUUGGGAUUUAUUUCUUUACUUUGCCUCUGCCAAGAAGAGGAAAUGCUGCCAUAGGCAGUGGUCUUCAUUUCCGACCUAAGAGUACUUUGGGAAAGUGUUCUUAGGUUUGAUAUACUUCUACAGUAUCUUCAUUUUCAUUAUUAAAGGUACCUAUUAACUUUUUCUUUCCUGAGCUUUCUGCAACUUGCCUAUUAAUUCUAUAAUCUCCAUUCCAUUCUAGAUCUAGUUCUUUUUCAGUAUCUAUUUAGGAAGAAAGGUGUAAGAACUUUAUGGAUGCAGUGUUAGAAAGCAGUCCCUUUAAAGUAGGAACUGGGUCUGUGGUGAGGCAUGUAAAAAUCUUAAGAUAUGAGGAGAAAGAAAUAGCAGCUAACUUUGGCCAUGUAGCAGGUGCUAUUCUUCAUUAAUCAGGUUUGUUUCGUAAUGAAACUUUGAUAGUACUUCCACUCUCUAAUAGAUAAAUAAGUACUUGGAAGUUCGUAUUGACUUGUUACACAAGGUGAUUAUAGUUAGUAGUGGACACAAAAUGCUGCAAUACAGAUCUUCUAUACCUAACUUAUUGAAUUUGUUAUGUAAUGAUGUAAUAAACUUAAUUUUUUUCAAGUAGUUUCUACAAACAAGUAGUUAAAAGUCAAGGAAUGGGAAGUUUAAUCAUACAUAUUACACUUACCUUGGUUUCUUGACUUUGAUUUAAAGAAGGUAAGCCAUAUGCACACAGAUCCUGGUUCUCUGAAGGAAGCCCAGGAGGACUUGCAGCAGCACAUUGCUGACUGCUACUGAAGUUAUUAGGGUAUUCUUUCAAAAGCAAGUCCUGUCCUUCAACAUUUUUACUGUAAGCUCUAGCAAGAAAAUCAGGAAAACACAAUUAUUUUUUAUUUUUUGAGGUCUUGAAAAUUUAUGAACAACCCAAGGUAUCACUGAGUCAAGUUAACUUGGUAACUUUAAACAGUUUUGCCCAAAGAUUUUUAAAAAUUCCCCUGGUGCUAUUUAUUAUUUUCAUACUCAGAGGAUGAAAUAGUACUUUAUGAAAUAUUUUACCGAAUUAUAACAGUUGUGGGGGGAGGGUUAUUCUUGUUUUUUAUUUGGGUUUGCUUUUGUCUUUUGUCUGACUAAUUAAAUGAAAGAUGCUCCUUAACUAAAGUGACUACCAGACUUCACACAAUCUUGCCUUUUUGAGUUUUGGCUAUUUUAAAAAUGAUCAAAUGUAUAAUAAAUAUAAAAUAGGAAUUUUCUCAUAUAUAUAAUAAUUAUGUCUGAUUUAUUUCCCCUUCCCUCAAAGCUCAUUUGUGUUUCUAAAAGUAUUUUAGACUUUUUGCAUUUUAGAUUAAACAGGUUUCUUGAGAAAUUUUUUAUUUUUUUAAAGAAAAACAUAUUUUGGAAGUAGUGAUGUUAAAAUGGAUUACCUAAACUCCAGUCCCCAGUGUGAGGUCCAUUAUUAAAGUAGAUUGAAAUGACCUACUUUAUAUAUACAGAGAAUUUUCACAUUAUUUGUUAGUUAAAUCCAUUCCUGAGGCUGACAACAUAAGAGAGGAAAAUACAGAAACUAAUUUCAUCAUUAUAUAAUUAGCUCAAAUAUAUUUUGAAUACAAGCUCAUUCUAUGUAGUAUUUUACUUCUGGUGCACAAUAGCUGAUGUUACAACAGCAUGUUUUCCUUUUUACUGGUCUCACCCAAAAUUCAUGCAGAGGUUUUGUUCAUUUCACAUGGAUUCUAUGGCUUGGGGUUUUAAAUUUGUAACCUGCCUGCUGUUUCUUCUGUGCCACUUGCUUUGCUCCCAUAGUGACCACCUGGCUUGCUCUCUCUCUUCAUAUUUUUUGUGCCUUAGGGAGAAGACUUCAUCAGAAAGAUCUUCUAUCUGGAAUUAGAAAUAAAGAUUUUUGUUUUAAUCAGAAACAUUUUGAAAUAUAAGAUCAGGCUGGGCACGGUGGCUCACGCCUGUAAUCCCAACACUUUGGAAGGCCGAGGUGGGUGGAUCACGAGGUCAGGAGUUCAAGACCAGCCUGGCCAAGAUGGUGAAAUCCCGUCUCUACUAAAAAAUACAAAAAUUAGCUGGGCAUGGUGGCAGGCGCCUGUAAUCACAGCUACUCGGGAGGCUGAGGCAGAGAAUUGCUUGAACGCGGGAGGCGGAGGUUGCAGUGAGCCAAGAUCGUGCCACUGCACUCCAGCCUGGGUGACAGGGCGAGACUCUGUCUCAAAAAAAGAAAUAUAAGAUCAGGUUUCAAAGAGUUUCUCAUGUAGAAAACAGUAGGAAGCAAACUAAAAUAAAUGCUAUCUGUGUAAGUUGAGAGAACAAAUGUUAUGAGAUGAACUCCAAAUUCCUGUAAAAGGGGAGUCAAAAUUUUUUAAAAAUUAUUUCAUUAUUGUUAUUUUUAGACACGGGUCUCUGUCGCCCAGGCUGUAGUGAGUGCAGUGGUGCAGUCAUAGCUCACUGCAGCCUUGAACUUCUGGGCUCAAGCAAUCCUCCCACCUCAAAAAACUUAAAAAUACUUGUUUCCUAUUGGUUCAUAUUUGAAGACUUCGGUAGGCUACAGAUGAGUUCGUAAUACUUUCCAUUUGCCAUAGCUUAGUACCAGUAGUCUUAAUGUUUUAUUCAUUCAGGAGUUUUUAUGGAUCGUCCAUUGUGGAGUACAUACUAUUCUAAGAAGAUGUUAAUAUCAGAUAAAAGUAAAACUAAUAAUCUUAGACAAGUCAGCAUUAAUUUAAUGAAUGACUUAUCUAGGUUUUGAACCUGGAAUACUACCUUAGUUAGGGUGUUUAAGAAUUUGGGUUUCUUGGCUAGGAUCAUUCAGAAGUAAGGAAGAAUACAUUAGAAGAGGAAAGGGCAUUAGAAGGUAAAUUUUAGUAGUUGAAAAACAUGACCACUGGACAUAGAAAGAUUGUUACUUGACAGAAACCAAGUGUCUUCAACAGUGUCAUCUUCUAGAGACCAUCACCUUGGAAUUAGUUUGGUUAUACAGUAUUUUUCCCUAUAAUCUUAUCUUGAUAUAAUUUUAUCCAUACCUAUUCACAACCCCUUACCUGCAAUUCCAAAAUCCAAAAAUCUGCAAAAACAAAUUUUUCAUAAUUCAUUUGGUGACAUAGCCUGAUCUGAAAUGAUGUGAGGCUAUUUUUAGUGUUUAUCCAACUCAACUAUGAAUAUUUCACUACAGAAACAUUAAUGUCUGAUUACUUUUACGCCCGAGACUCUACAGGUAUUACGUGAUAUGUUUACCACAUUACUUUUUUAAAGUCCAAAAUUUUCUAAACCGAAGAGCAAAUUGGUCCUAAGAUUCUGAAAAUGGCAUUUAAACUUAAAUAAUGAGUGAGACUAAUCUCAUGCAGAAAAAUAUAAUUAAUACUGACAAUGAAUGUGGAUAUUCACGUAAAUUCAGUAUCUCAAAAACUCAUAAACAAAUGCUAUAUUUUCUUUUGGCUUUUUUUUCUUUUUGAAACGGAGUCUUGCUCUGUUGCCCAGGCUGGAGUGCAGUGGUGCGAUCUCGGCUCAUUGCAAGCUCCGCCUCCCGGGUUCACGCUAUUCUCCUGCCUCAGCCUCCCAAGUAGCUGGGACUACAGGUGCCCACCACCACGCCCGACUAAUUUUUUUGUAUUUUUAGUAGAGACGGGGUUUCACCGUGUUAGCUAGGAUGGUCUCCAUCUCCUGACCUCGUGAUCCGCCCGUCUUGGCCUCCCAAAGUGCUGGGAUUACAGGCAUUAGCCACCGCGCCCGGCCUUGGCUUUUUAAAUUAUUGUGUAUUUCUAUAUUAUGCUGGUAGUCAAAUUUGCACAAAACAUUUUUCGAAUAUUCUUUUAAAAGAACUUCCUUUUCAUAAGUGAAAAGAAAAAAAUCAGUGUAAGUUAAAGGGCUUAUAUAUUCCUUUAGUUCCCUGAAUGUCAAAGUAAGCAGGUUUCAUAAUACAUAAUGUGCAAUUAUCCCAUUAAAUGAAAGGCAGCUUACCUCUUCUUUGCCUAAAUUAUAUUCAUCCAAAGGCUGAAGAACAACCAUCCUCCAGCUGUUGAAGAUAAAAACCAAUUUUAAACAGCUUUUAUUUAUUUAAAUGUGGCAAUUUUAUACUCAGCACAGCUAAAUGUAUUAGUGUUUCCUUGGCACUUCCAUGGUUCAAAUUGUUGUAUUUUAAUACUUAAUUUUUUAAAAGAAAAACAUUUGUAUUAUGAGAAAAGGACAAAAGAGAAAAUGAGACUUUAUUUUUGGCCUUAUGGUGAAUAGUCUGUUCUGUAUAGCUGCAUUUUAUACAUAAUAAUUAUGUACUGACUGAAGUCAGUGGUACGCUGAUAAACUGGCCUGGCCAAAAAGUAACAGAGAAGGAAAAAAACCCUGGUUUGUAUGUUUGCCAAUUUCUUUGGUGUGAAAAUACCUACCAUAGCCCCUUUUGAGCCAUCAGUAGUUUAAUAACUGGCUCACAGAAGUCUUCUAUAUUUAACUAUCUGCUCAGCCAGCUAGCUCCAGCCUACCAUUGCAAGUUGAAAUAUAUUUUUGCUAUAGAACGUCAUAGCCACAAAUGUUAUUACUUAUGCAACAAGUAUCCACAGAUUGAGUUCUCAUAUAACUCUUCUAGAAUAUUAUGCUCUUAAUACCUCAAAGUAAUUAUGAAGUAGUAAAAGAAAUGAAAUUAGAAUAGAGAUGUAUAGCAAUUGACUGAAAUUGUCACCCACCUGUCUCUGUUUGCAGCCUUUUCUGUCUCUACUUCCUGGUGUCAUUUAUAUUCUUAAGAAGCUGCAUUCAUGAUUUCUAAAAAGUUUGGCUAACGUUACUGCCAGUAGGGAGCAGAUCUGUGUAUGGCAUUCAGGGACCUCCACAAAUCUGGACCUAACUUUGUCUCUAGCCUUCCAUUAUCAAUCUGGACCUAACUUUGUUUUUAGCCUUCCAUUAUCAACCUGCACAAAACAGUAUCUGGCUAAGCCUUACACACUUGUCCUGUGCCUUUGUUGUCGUAUCCCUAUGUAAAUACCUUCUCCACCUUCCCAUUCCUUCAUGGAUGACUUCCCAGACCUUCCCACUCAUCUUUUGAAUGUGUUUAUUGCUGACUUGGCAAUGCAUCAAAAUCUUUUUUUUUUUUUUUUUUUUUUGGUCACAGGUAUUACUGUCUUACAGUGUGAAUACCCCAUGAAAACGUAGAACUCUUUGCAACUUAUGUCACACCUGUAUCUUCAAGGGCAAGGAUUAUUUGUUGCUAUAGUUUUUAUGUCACUAAAGUACCUUUUAGUGUCAUAUACAUAGUAGAUAACACUGGAUAAUAAUAAUAAAAAAGACUAAGAAUGCUAAAGUAGUCUAGGAAUUCCUAAAUCUUAAUAAAAACUGAGAAAUAAAGUUGUGAUACUAUAUAACACUUAAGGCACGAGUAAUUUUUUUUUCACCGUUUCCCCUCCAUGGCUAUGAAGGAACUGGGAGAAGGAUGCUCCUUUCAUUAAUUAAAAUUCUUCACUUUGAAAAUUUAAGUUUAUUAGGGAAGGAAGGAAGAAAAAUAUGAAGAUGUAAGUAUACAUACCUUGGAGUAAGUAUUUCCUUAUAUUGGAGUUUCUCUAAUUUAGCUGGGGCUACUAAUGACAUGGGAAUCACAAUGUUAUCUAUGUCAUAAGAGCUCUCACUUCUCAAUCUCCGUCGUGCAGUAUUCUGCAAAACAGGAUUACAGUAGAUUUACAGUACUGUCUAGUUACUUGUAAUGAUACCCUCCUUUCAUCAGUUAUGUAAAUAUGGCAGUACACGUUACAUAAUUUUUGUAAAUACAUUGUUAUAAAGUCUGACUAAAAAAUGUUAAGAAAACCAAAAAAUAAAACAUUUUUCUAUCUUUUGUAAAUCAGAACAAUCUCUUGGUAGAUGUGUAAUGUGUAUUUAUGUGUGCAAGCAUACAAGCUUAUUUUUAAGACCACAAAAAAUAGGUCUUAAAUGCAAAACUCUUUAUCAGAAAAGACCAACAUACAUCACCCUAAAUGUCAAUGAAAAUGAUCAGUAACCACUUUUUAUUAGGAAAGGCAGUGAAACAUUUUUGGUCAGCCCUUCAGUAUACUCUUCAUUUAUGCAUUCCUGGUUCCUGAGUUUCGGAAUUCAUUUCUAAACCCUCCCACCUUUUGACCUCUCUAUUCCCUGGCCAGAUAACAAAAAAACAAACAAACAAACAAAAAACAGGACAAGAACAAGAAAGUCCUGAAUUCUCAUUAGUAAGACUUUAUUUAGCUUAAUAUGUUAAGGAAUAGAGAUGAUCAUGAUAAUGUUUAAAUUUUUAACACAUAAAAAGAAGCUAUAACCAAAUAUUAAUGAACUUUUAGCUUCAUAGUUAAAAAUAAGUUGUAUGAAUCAAAUAUAUUGUUUUCUAACAAGAUAGUUAUAAAUGUCUGUUAAUAUGUGCUAGUAAGGCUGUUAUAGAUUAGCAAAAUAUAAAUUAUUUUCAAAAUCAGGUGUUUUUAUUUUUAAAGCUAUUUUAGAGUUCAACAUAUGGAAAAACCUACUCGUGAUGAAUUCUGGAUUCUUGAUAAAACGUUGACAUUGGAAACAGCAGUAAAAUUGCUAUGGGAUCCUGAUUCUGUGUGUUGAAAAUCAGAUUCUUCAAGUUUAGUUCUUUCUCCUGCCAUGGAAAGAACCAUUGAAUGUUACACAUUAAACAAGUCUAAUAUCAUUAGAAUUACUUUCCUAAUUAGAUGACAGGUGAUUGAUUCCUUGUUUUGUGUGUGUGUGUUUAAAUUCGUGUAUUAGAAAACAAAAAAGGAAAUGAAAAAAGAGGAGCCUUACUUGCAGUCAUGCCACAAGUUAUUUCCAUUUUCUGGGGCUUUGGCAGUUUUUAUCGAAUAUAUUUCUUAUUGUUCCCUGAAUAAUCCCUCAUCUCAUCCCUUUAUUCUUGUUUCCUGUGACUCCUAUUCAUAGUUGAACCACCAGAACUAUCUUAAUUUUCUUAUCUAAUCUCAUUUUUCAUAUCUGACUUUUUAUCCUAAUUUAUGUGAGGUAUCUGUCCUUGGUCUUCUGAACACUCUUAAUUUUUUGAAAAAAUUCUGCUAUUAUAAGUACAUGUUUCCGAAAGUACUUGUUCUCUGGUACUCUUUUUUUAAAACAGCAUCCUGUUCUUGUUUCAUAGAUGAAAUUUCUCAUAUCUCUCAGGAUAUUGAUUAGAAGUUUACUUCUGUUAGUAUUUUCUGUAUAUCUUCCAAGUUCUUUUUUUUUUUUUUUCCUGUUUUGGUUCCCAGUUACUGUGUGUGUGUGUGUGUGUAGUAAAUAUAUAUAUGUAUGCGUUUACUUACUGCCCUUAUUUUAGUACAAGUGUUUUAAAAUGAGAAUAUUUCCUGCAUAAUAUAAAAUCUAAUACCCAGUCCAUAUUUAAAUAUCUCCAUUUGUUAAAAAAAAGUCCUUUAUAGCUAGUUUCUUCAGAUAAGGAUCUAUAUAUAAAAAUUGGCCAUUGUCUCCUAGGUUUCUUAUAGUCUAGAAUAAAUCAUUUUUCAUUACAUUGACUUUUGACAGGCUGGACCAGAUGUCCUACCCUUUUGGAAUUGUCUAGUUAUUUAUUUGUAGUAUGACAUUUCUUUAUUUUAUUCCUGUAUGUACAUCAAACUUGAAGUUAGAUCUAAAGUGUCAGUCAAUUUAAGUGAAACAUUUUAUAUCUUAGGUAAUGUAUACUUCAUGUUGCAUCUUAUUAGAUGUUUUUAAAGCUUUAUAUAUAUAUAUAAGUUGAAUCUUGUUGACUUUCUCAAAAUCCUGAGGAAUCUGCAGUGCAUCAACAUCUCCACAGUAGGUACCAUAAAUGGUUAACAGUUUCUGUAAGGCAACUUUGCACUAGCCUAUUUUGAGCAUAGAACACAACUUUGAAGAUUAAAUCCCAUCCAGGGACUGAUUGGUAGAAGACAACUAGUCAGGGAACAUAGGAGGGAAAUACUUAAUUGCCAUAAAGUGGGUAGAUACCAGUCCACAAAUAAUUCUAAAUUAACUACGAAUAUGCUGUUUCAUGUUUGUAGACUCAUAGAUGUUUUGUGUUAUUAGUGGCUGUUCUGGAUUAUAAACUCCCAUGAGAGGUUAUUUUAAAAUCAGAAUUUUUAAUUUUUAAUAUUUAUCACUACUGCUUAUAUCCUCACUUUAACCUACCUAAUGCUGUUUCACUCAAAUGUCUUUUCUUUCUUCCCUGUAACAGUUGUGCAGAAGAUUCUGACCUUAUUUGAGGCUUACAUAUAGGUUUGGAGAUGUGGAAAGGAGUGGAAAAAGAAAUAUGUAAGCUGAAGUGCCAAACUCACACUGAAAUAAAGGGCAUGGCCUACCAGCUGACAAGGAGUGUCUGGUUUCAAGAUGGCAAAUGACCCUAAACAUGAUAGACAAAUACGUUUUACAUAGGUACAUGCACAGAUAGGCACAUAUAAAUCCACAUUUGCAAGCAAAAAGUGGAACCUGUAAAGCAGAAUUUCUGAGGAAUCUCUAAAAGACUAAUACUAUAUGGAAUUUGAAGAGGAAACCCAGAGCAGAAGCACAUAGUGAAGUACUGCCACAAAGAUGUGUGACGCCACUAAAGGUGCUCUAGACCCACAAGAAAGGAAAACUGGGAGCAGGACAACUAUCUGGAUAUUGACUGCACAUGCCAAUAUCUCAGUCAGACUAACAGAAUCAGAGCUUUAGGCAGAGAAAUGAAUGGUUGGAGAGAGAAGGCAAUGCCCAGGUGCCCUGCUUUGAAAUGUCCCGCCCAUCCCCAAAUUAGUCUGAAAAUUUCAAAUGUUGUAUAAAUUCCCUUCCCAUCAAAAGUGUCCCAUAAACAGCAGUGGUAGAAGAGUUUUAACUGAGUAUCACAGCUUCAAUGAUGAGUAUAGAAAACUCCAAAAAUCUGAAUACCAACACAAUCAAAAAAGAGGUACAAACCACAAGUGGAAGAACCAUCUCAAGAAAUAAUGAAGCAUUCAUGGAAUACAGAUUAGCAACUCUUUAAAACAGUAUUGCCAAGAGAAACAGAUGGCAUUGCAGUUGUCAGAUCUCAUUAAGGUCUUAUAUCUGAAACAGUUCCACUGUCUUCCAUAACUUUCAUAACUUUGAACAUUUUGGCUCAUAGGCGAAAGGGAAUUGCCUUAUUUCGAAUGAGACUUUGGACUGUGGACUUCUGAGUUGAUGCUGAAAUGAGUUAAGACUUUGGGGGACUGCUGGGAAGGCAUGAUUGGUUUUGAAAUGUGAGGACGUGAGAUUUGGGAGGGGUUGGGGUGGAAUGAUAUGGUUUGGCUGUGUCCUCACUCAAAUCUCAUCUUGAAUUCCCACAUGUUGUGGGAGGGAUCGGUGGGAGGUAAUUGACUCACGGGGCCAAGUCUUGCUGUUCUUGUGAUAGUGAAUAAGUCUCACAAGAUCUGAUGGUUUUAAAAAGAGGAGUUCCCCUGCACAAGUUCUCUCUCUUUGCCUACUGCCAUCUACGUUAAGACAUGACUUGCUCCUCCUUGCCUUCCACCAUGAUUGCAAGGUAUCCCCAGCCAUGUAGAACUGUAAGUCCAUUAAAUCCUUUUUCCUGUAUAAAUUACCCAGUUUCAGGUAUGUCUUUAUCAGCAGCAUGAAUAUGGACUAAUACAGAAAUUAAAAUGAUGCCUGACACAUAAUUGCUUAAUAAAUAUUAGCUAUUAUUAUUUGACAUUAUCAUUAGUGUUGUAAAAUGAGCAAAGUCAAGUAAAAAUGCAUAACAAUCUAUGCUUUUUAUUAAUCCUGUCUAGCAAAGGAAUCAUAACCUCUGCAAAUAAUUAUUCUAAAUAAUUAUUCCUAUCAGUUUACCUCUACCUCUUCCAUCUUACUGCUCUAGUAGAAAAAUUAGGCCAGGGCAGUGGCUCAUACCUGUAAUCCUAGCACUUUGGAAGGCUAAUGCAGGAGGAUCAUUUUUUGAGCCCAGGAGUUCAAGACAAGCCUAGGCAACAUAGAAAGACCCUGUCUCUACAAAAAAUUUAAAAUUACCUGGGUGUGGCAGUACAUGCUUGUACCAGCUACUUGGGAGGCUGAGGUGGGAGGACUGCUUGAGCCUGGGAGGUCGAGGCUGCAGUGAGCUAUGAUCGUACCACCACACUCCAGGCUGGGUGACACAGUGUGACCUCAUCCCUCCCCCACCAAAA
rnacentral:lncRNA from 1 species